CUAGGGAAUCAGCUGAGGCCUUCAUGUAAGGAAUCACAAUCAUUCCAUGGCCACUAAAAAUGUUUCCGGGUUACAAAGUCAAGCAGCCCCAGACAGCCAUGAAGCUUGGUGGCCUUGGCAUGAUAUAAUAGCAAAUGAGUAGAGUUUGAGAUCAUGACAGUCACAACCACAAGCACUUUUUGAGUGCUUGCUCUAAGGCAGGAAUAUUUAGGACUAUUUCCAACACACGUUAAACACGUAUUGGAUAUACAACUUAAGUUAUUAUUAACUUAUUUAAUUCUCACAACUUCAUGAGGUACACCUUUUAAGGCAGAGAGAAGUUAAGCAACUUGGCCAGGAUCUCACAGCUAAAAGUGUCAGAGCCAGGAUUCAAAGCCAAUCCAGCAGUCUGAUUCCAGAGGAGCACCAUCUUCUAGAAGAGGAACAUUGGAAAUAACCAUACAUCAGACACCUGAAGCAAUCAGGCCUCAGAAUGUAACACUAUUAAACAAUCUCAAGUGGUGACCACAAGAAGGUGUCUUGCAGAUCUUCAACUCCAGGGGGUGUAACUGAUCAAGGGUCCCCGCUGUCCUCUGUUCCCAGCCAACAAGUGAGUAUGACAGAGAUACUCAGGCAGCCCAUUCCACAGUACUUCUCCAGUAGUGACUUUGGCUCAAGGAUCCAACAAACUUGCAGAAGUUUCCUUAGACUGCACGGUGAUCUAGGAAACUUCUGCUCAAACUUCCUUUCCUCUCUCCUUCACUUAGCACCGCACUUAGUCUGUGAUCUGAGAACUGUCCCAGCCUCUCCCAGCCCCUUCCUCAAUUCCUCGCCAACAUAUUUCCCCUUGCACAUUGAAUUCUGUCUUGGCAUUUACUUCUCAGAGGACCCAGACUAACACACUAACUGUUCAUAUCCUUUGCACAUCAUUUUAUUGCUCUCUUGGACUUUUCUUUAUUGACUUAUAGAUGUUCCUAAUACAACAAUGGCUUAACCCUUUUCUAUCAUGUAUUGCAAUCACCUUUCCUUAGGUGAUCUUAGAUCUUUGGCUUAGUUUUUGAUAUUUUCUCCAUGUCAAAGCAUGUAUAGGAUUUCCGGGCAACACACAGGAGUCUCUAUAAUAGGUAUAGAUGUAACUUCUCUUGAUCUGGAAACCUAGGAAUCAAAAGGAUGAGAAGUUGUAGGCCCAACUCACAUCAAUAUACAAAGGUGAAAUGAGAGGAAGAAUGGAAAACCUAUAGCAGUCACUGGUCUGCAAAAGUUCUGAAAUCCCUCUGCGCAGGCAUAGCAAGGGUCCCCCACUCUGGUGUGGAGAAUGCUUCUUGAAUGGCGCCAGUUAUGCUCUGUGGGAGGAACUCUCCAGUCUCUCCUCUCCAUAGCCCUUGGAUCUCAUCCUCUGGGGGCUUUUUCUUUUUCCAUUAUCAUCCUUGGAGAUCUG
rnacentral:lncRNA from 1 species